UACAGAGGUGUCAAACGUUGUCCGGAAUUACUGGGCGUAAAGGGCGCGUAGGCGGCCUUAUAAGUCAUGUGUGAAAGCUCUGGGCUCAACCCAGGAAUUGCAUGUGAUACUGUAAGGCUUGAGUUCGGUAGAGGAGGGCGGAAUUCCAGGUGUAGCGGUGAAAUGCGUAGAUAUCAGGAGGAACACCGGUGGCGAAGGCGGGUCUCUGGGCCGAUACUGACGCUGAGGAGCGAAAGCGUGGGGAGCGAACAGG
rnacentral:rRNA from 1 species